rnacentral:lncRNA from 1 species
UGGGUGUGUGUGUGUCUGUGCAAGCGUCCCUUUGCUCUAGAAGGGAGACGCCUAUUGUGUAAUCAGCUGGGGUGGAACCCCAUCUAUCGAGCAGAUCCCCCCUCCGUAGCUCGACUGCUUUGAUGUGUGCGUAAAGACCUUUCAGUCUUGGGUUCUAUCCCCGCAAGCGCCCCUUUUAAUUCUGCAUAUUUUCUUCCUUCGGUGAUGCUCGUCAUGUGGACUGUGUAUUUUUGGUUGAUUCCUCUCGUAGAGAAAAAGCACGCAGCAAAGCGCAUGGCAACAGAGCCAUGGCUACCCAUGUUGAUCAUUGGUUCGAGUUUCCCUAGCGCCCCUUUUUAGUUUUGUUUUCCCUAGUGUUGCUAAGUAGCAGAAGGAGCACAUCUGCAUUACUACCCCUAGUAGAGCAGCUACACGAGUGUAACCUAGAGUGUUGUGGCUAGACCAGGGAUGUGCAGAGUUCGAUCCAUCUCUCUCCCCAUUUAUAUUUAGUGCACGUGUUGUUGUGUGUGCCACUGACAGUGGGUCCAGGGCUCACGUGUCAUGGACGAGGGACCCUGGUGCCUAUGACAAGUGGGGCCCCUAUCAAAUUAGGUUGUGGUUUAUUUUUUUAUUCUGCUGGUGUGUUAAUUCCAUUUCUAGUAAUUCCUUAUUUGGAAUUUGCCUAAUCUGGUAUAUACCAAAUCUGGCAUAUCAAGAACAACUCAUGUUCUUGACUUUAGUAGCUUUUGAUCCUGUGUGGAAUUUCUGUGCUGUUUUAUGGUGUUUNNNNNNNNNNNNNNNNNNNNNNNNNNNNNNNNNNNNNNNNNNNNNNNNNNNNNNNNNNNNNNNNNNNNNNNNNNNNNNNNNNNNNNNNNNNNNNNNNNNNAGUAUACAUUCACAUAACACCACUAAGGGAAUCACAACAUUCAUAUCAUCAAAAUACCGAAUGAAUAUCAACUUCGCAUGACUACUUGCAACAUGAUAUCUCCUGUGGCCUCAAGAACAAAAGUAACUACUCACAAGUGAUAAAGAUGUUCAUGAUCAGAGAGGUAAUGAAUAGGAUAAUGGAUCUAAACAUAUAAUCUUCCACCAAGUAAACCAUAAAGCAUCAACUUCAAGAUUUAAUUAACGCUAUUAGACUCACCCGAGGUACCAAUUCGAGGUUCCGGUACAAGAUUCAAUACAAGAGAUGAAUUAGGGUUUUGAGAGGAGAUGGUACUGGUGAAGAUGUUGAUGGAGAUUGGCCUCCCCAAUAUGAGAGGGUUGUUGGUCAUGACGAUGGCCAUGGUUUCCCCCUCGGGGAGGGAAGUUCCUCCGACGGAAUUGCUCUAACAGAGGGCAAAAGUGCUCCUGCCCAGGUUCCGCCUCGAGAUUGUGGCGCUUUGCCUCAAAAGUCCUCUCCUCAAUUUUGUAGGUGGGAGGAGAAUAUAUACCAAAAGAUGGCGCUAGAGGUGGGCCAGGCGGCCCACUAGACAUCAGGCAGCACCAGGGGUGCCUGGUCCGACCUCGUAUCUAGUGGCCGCCUGGUGACCCCCCCUCCAGCAUUUCUUUGUUCGAGUAUUUUUAUAUUAUUAAAUAAAUCACACUANCAGUAGCGCGUGUAAAAAAAUAGCGCUACUAAUAAACUCAUAUCAGUAGUGUGGCACUUAUGAAACGUGCUACUACUAUAAUUGCCACACCAUUCCCGACAGGCUAGGUAUAGUAGUAGCGCCCUUCCUAAACUAGCGCUGCUCCUAUUCUACUUAGUUGUAGCACUUGGCACCAACCCACGCUGCUGCUAUACCCACCUUAUCCACCCCGUGCGUUCCCUCUCUCUUCCUCACUCCCGGCCCCUCACUCCCCUGCCGCUGUCGCUUCCUCUCUGCCCCCCGCCGCUCACCGCCUCCGUCGCCUANNNNNNNNNNNNNNNNNNNNNNNNNNNNNNNNNNNNNNNNNNNNNNNNNNNNNNNNNNNNNNNNNNNNNNNNNNNNNNNNNNNNNNNNNNNNNNNNNNNNGGGAGAGGAUCAUCAUUAUUAGAGCAUUGUCCCAUGUGAGGAAAUAAAAAAGAGGCCAAAGAGCCCAAAAAAAGAGAGGCCUAAGAGCCCAAAUAAAAAAAGAGAGAAAAAGAGAGAAGGGACAAUGCUACUAUCUUUUUCCACGCUUGUGCUUCAUAAUAAGCACCAUGUUCGUCAUGAUUGAGAGCCUCUCGUUUUGUCACCACCAUAUACACUAGUGGGAAACUUCAUUAUAUAACUUGGCUUGUAUAUUCCAAUGAUGGGCUUCCUCAAAAUUGCCCUAGGUCUUCGUGAGCAAGCAAGUUGGAUGCACACCCACUAGUUUUCCUUUUGAGCUUUCACAUACUUAUAGCUCUAGUGCAUCCUUUGUAUGGCAAUCCCUACUCAUUCACAUUGAUAUCUAUUAAUGGGCAUCUCCAUAGCCUUUUGAUACGCCGAGUCAAUGUGACCAUCUCCUCCUUUUUUGUCUCACAACCACCACCACACACUAUUCCACCUAUAGUGCUAUAUCCAUGGCUCGCGCUCAUGUAUUGCGUGAUAGUUAUAAAAACUUUGAGAAAGUAAGAGUGCGCAAACAAUUACUUGGCCAAUACGGGGGUUGUGCAUGAUUUACAUUAGUUGUGUGAGGAUGAUGGAGCAUAGACAGACUAUAUGAUUUUGUAGGGAUAACUUUCUUUGGCCUUGUUAUUUCAAAAGUUCAUGAUUACCUUGCUAGUUUGCUUGAAGUAUUAUUGUUUUCAUGUCAAUAGAAAACUAUUUUUUCGAAUCUUACAGAUCUGAACAUUCAUGUCAUGUGAAAGAAGUUGCAAAGGACAACUUUGCUAGGUAGCAUUCCACAUCAAAAAUUCAUUCUUUAUCACUUCCCUACUCGAGGACGAGCAGGAGUUAAGCUUGGGGAUGUUUGAUACGUCUCCAACGUAUCUAUAAUUUUUGAUGGUUUCAUGAUAUUAUCUUGUCAACUUUGGAUGUUUUAUAUGCAUGAAUAUGCUAUUUUAUAUCUUUUUUGGGACUAACCUAUUAACUCAGUGCCAAGUGCCAGUUUCUGUCUUUUCCCUGUUUUUGACCCUUUUUCAGACGGAGUCCAAAUGGAAUGAAACUUUACGAUGAUUUUCUUUGGACCAAAAGAGACCUCCGAAGCUUUGGAAGAAGGCCAUAAGAGCCACAAAGGAGUCACAAGCCCAUGGGGCGCGGCCUACCCCCCAGGUCGCACCGUGCAGGCUUGUGACCCCCUCGUGGGCCCAACUGACGCAAUUCCACCGCCAUAAAUUCCUAUAAAUACGGAAACCUCCAGAAAGAAACCUAGAUCGGGAGUUCCGCCGCCGCAAGCCUCUGUAGCCACCAAAAACCAAUCUGGAGCCCGUUCCGGCACUCUGCCGGAGGGGGAAUCCAUCUCCGGUGGCCAUCUUCAUCAUCCCGGCGAUCUCCAUGACGAGGAGGGAGUAGUUCUCCCUCGGGGCUGAGGGUAUGUACCAGUAGCUAUGUGUUUGAUCUCUCUCUCGUGUUCUUGAGAUGUCUUGAUCUCGAUGUACCGUGGGCUUUGCUACUAUAGUUGGAUCUUAUGAUGUUCUUCCCCCUCUCCCUUCUUGUAAGGAAUUGAGUUUCCCCUUUAAAGUUAUCUUAUCGGAUUGAGACUUUGAGAACACUUGAUGUAUGUCUUGCACGUGUCUAUCUGUUGUGAUCAACUUGCGGGUUUGUGACAAUUGGGAACCUAUGCAUAUGGGUUGGCACACGUGGAUUCAUGUGAGUACUUGAUGUAUGUUUUGGUGAUCAACUUGCGGGUUCGUGACAUUGGGAACCUAUGCAUAGGGGUUGGCACACGUUUUGACUCUCCGGCAGAAACUUUGAGGCACUCUUUGAAGUUCUAUGUGUUGGUUGAAUAGAUGAUUCUGAGAUUGUGUGAUGCAUAUCGUAUAAUCAUGCCCACGGAUACUUGAGGUGACAAUGGAGUAUCUAGGUUACAUUAGGGUCUUGGUUGAUAUGUAUCUUAAGGUGUUAUUCUAGUACGAACUCUGUGAUGGAUCGAACGGAAAGAAUAGCUUCGUGUUAUUGUACUACGGACUCUUGAAUAGAUCGAUCAGAAAGAAUAACUUUGUGGUGGUUUCAUACCCAACAAUAAUCUCUUCGUUUGUUCUCCGCUAUUAGUGACUUUGGAGUGACUCUUUGUCGCACGUUGAGGGAUAGUUAUAUGACCCAAUUAUGUUAUCAUUGUUGAGAGAACUUCACUAGUGAAAGUAUGAACCCUAGGCCUUGUUUCCACGCAUUGCAAUACCGUUCGUGCUCACUUUUGUUACUAGUUACCUUGCUGUUUUUGUAAUUUCAGAUUACAAAGACCUAUAUCUACCAUCCAUAUUGCACUUGUUUCACCAUCUCUUUGCCGAACUAGUGCACCUAUACAACUUACCAUUGUAUUGGGUGUGUUGGGGACACAAGAGACUCUUUGUUGUUUGGUUGCAGGAUUGCUUGAGAGAGACCAUCUUCAUCCUACGCCUCCCGCGGAUUGAUAAACCUUAGGUCACCAACUUGAGGAAAAAUUGCUACUGUCCUACAACCCUCUGCACUUGGAGGCCCAACAACGUCUACUAGGAGAAGGUUGCGUAGUAUACAUCAUCGUCGCCGCCGCCCCAAGACCGUCCUCCUCCUCGUCGUCGCCUCUGCCCCCGAGCCCGUCCUCCUCCUCGCAGUCGCCGCCGCCCCCGAGCCCGUCGUCGUAUUCAACCGGCCUUAUCCACCCUGUGCACUCCUUCUCUCUUCCUCACUCCCCCCUCACAUUGUCGGCCCCUCCUCGCUUCGCCUUCCUCCUCCGUCCUCCCUCCACUCCUCCAUUCGCCACCAGCCGGCCCCUCCUCCCUCCGCCUUCCUCCUCCGUCCUCCCUCCACUCCUCCAUUCGCCACCAGCCGGCCCCUCCUCCCUCCGCCUUCCUCCUCCGUCCUCCCUCCACUCCUCCAUUCGCCACCAGCCGGCCCCUCCUCCCUCCGCCUUCCUCCUCCGUCCUCCCUCCACUCCUCCAUUCGCCACCAGCCGGCCCCUCCUCCCUCCGCCUUCCUCCUCCGUCCUCCCUCCACUCCUCCAUUCGCCACCAGCCGGCCCCUCCUCCCUCCGCCUUCCUCCUCCGUCCUCCCUCCACUCCUCCAUUCGCCACCAGCCGGCCCCUCCUCCCUCCGCCUUCCUCCUCCGUCCUCCCUCCACUCCUCCAUUCGCCACCAGCCGGCCCCUCCUCCCUCCGCCUUCCUCCUCCGUCCUCCCUCCACUCCUCCAUUCGCCACCAGCCGGCCCCUCCUCCCUCCGCCUUCCUCCUCCGUCCUCCCUCCACUCCUCCAUUCGCCACCAGCCGGCCCCUCCUCCCUCCGCCUUCCUCCUCCGUCCUCCCUCCACUCCUCCAUUCGCCACCAGCCGGCCCCUCCUCCCUCCGCCUUCCUCCUCCGUCCUCCCUCCACUCCUCCAUUCGCCACCAGCCGGCCCCUCCUCCCUCCGCCUUCCUCCUCCGUCCUCCCUCCACUCCUCCAUUCACCGCCGUCCGGCCCCUCCUUGCUCCGCAUUCCUCCUCCGUCAUCCUUCCUCCUCCCUCCUUCAGUCGCCCCUCCUUCUCCCCCCUCCCCCCUCCAUCCACAACCCCUCCUCCCUGCUACAUUUUGAUUUAGUAGGCUAGUUGAUAUUUUCUUGUUCAUAUGCAACAUUUUAAUUUACUUAAUGGUUUGUAGUUGAUAUAUAACAAUUUUGAUUUAGUAUGAUUAACUGAUUAGUAAAAAUUUAGACAUAGUUGAUAGUUUUUAGUUGAUAUAAGCCUCUGUUCUUGUAUAACACUUUGAUUUAGGAUACUUUCUACGGUUUAGUUGAUAGUUUCUAGUUAACUGAAUUAUUACUAGGGUUUUAGUAUAUUAUUUUUAGACAUAGUUGAUAGUUUCUAGUGAUCUUGAAACUAUUUACUCAUUUGCUAGAAUGAACAUGUCAUAUUUUGUUUAUAUUUUGUUUAUGCAGAAAUCAAGUAUUUGCCCCUGCCUCAUCCCCGCAGUAGUCCCCAUCGCCGGCCCCCUAAGACCUCUAGGUGAGUAUAGCCAAAUCCCCAUGUUGUUGAUAUAGAUGAUAAUGUGUUGUAAAUGUCGAUGAUGAAAAUGCUAGUGCUAGUCGCCAUGUCAUUGAUGUCGAUGAUGAUGCAUUCUGAAUAUAGAGGAUGUCUUGGUGUUCUUGUUUGCAAAUGUUGAUUCAUUUCCGUUCCAGCAAAUAUCAGGCGCUCCAUAUGUCCACUUUUUAGCAAAGGUCAUGCCCAAAUUUUCCAUGAAUUUCGGCAUGACAAGUGCUAGAAACUAGGACAUAUGGAGUGCCCUGUAAUUGCCGGAAAUGGGAAUGAAGAGUGGAAGUAGAGGAAAAUAGAAGAAGAGGAGAANNNNNNNNNNNNNNNNNNNNNNNNNNNNNNNNNNNNNNNNNNNNNNNNNNNNNNNNNNNNNNNNNNNNNNNNNNNNNNNNNNNAGAGGAGGAGAGGAAGAAGAGGAGGAAAAUAAGAAAGGAAGAAUUAUUUAGGUUAAUUCUGUUUUAGAAUUAAUAGUGAUCUGUCAUAUAAGUUUCCUCGUAGUUGCCUUCGAUUGAUUUUAAAUGUUUCAACUAUGAACAUAGGAAAUGUCUGACGACGAAAGGGAAUUCAUUAUGUGUGAAUACUGCAAAGAUGAGUGCGGCCUGUGCGACACGCCUCACCUAGUUGAUGGUAGGCGCUUCAACUUAUAAUUUUUAUUUUUUACUAUUCUACUAGUGUAUCCCCUCCCAUGCAAGAACUUAUGUCUUGGAUAAGAUUAGUUUCAGUACUAAAAAAACUAUGGAGGUAAAGAGAGUUCACUUGAGGACCGAGCAUGAUUAUACUUUUGCAGUAAAGUUGUACAAUGCACACACCUACUCCUAUUUUGAAUGCACAAAUUAGCAAGCACUAUGCAAGGCUUAUGCAUUUGAGCCUAAUAUGCUUAUCACCUUCGAUAUUCGCCCGGAAGAUGAAAUUGAAGGUAAUAUCGACAGCUGGGUCGAUGUGCAAACGCCUCCAGUUCUACCAUUAUGUGAGUUUCUCAACCAUAUUUAUUAAGUAAUUUAUAUUGUUUAUUUAAAAAUAGUUGACAACUUAUUUCCAUUGACAUCUUAUUUCCAUUCUUCAAAAAAUGUAUGGAAGAUGGUAGACAGAACCUACUACUACAAUGAUGAACCAGAAUUAACUUAUAAGGAGAAAAAUCAUCUUAUUGCAUUUAUUAAUUAUCUUGAGAAUUAAAAUAGCUAUUAUCAAACUCCUCCACAUUAUGGUCAAUACGUGCCACUAGUGCACGUGGUGAACUACGGUAACAUCCAUGGAGAUUGCAUGGCAAGAUUUUCUACUAUUACGACAUCCGUGCAUCUUUUGCAUAAAUUCUUCUAAAACUAAACUACAUUGCUAACUACAAAGUUAUUACUAUGUUUUUCAACAGAAAAUCAUGAAGUAUUGUGUACCUCAUCUGAUGUUUCUAAGAGGUCACGUUGUUUUUAUGAGCUUAGGGCCAGCAUGGCCAGGUCAGCCUACGCAUCACUCCUGUCCAUACCGGAUUUCUAAAAUCAAUGAAGUAAUGACAAUCAAAGAUUGUAAAAAAUGUAUGGUCUAUCGUAGAGAGAUACUUGGAAGCAACAUUGUGCGUAGGCCAAGAAUUGGAGACAGGAUGAUCUCCAUUCUCCAUAAUGGAGAGUCAGGGCAUAUCUUGUUUUAUGAUAUUCUACCUAAGAGAGGGUAGAGUAGGUCCUAUGAGAGAGGAGUAGGUCCUAGGUACAAUGUGUUAUUAUGUGCUACAAUGUGUUAGAGUUGACGAUGAUGAUGAGGAGGAGUUGUGAUUAUGACUAGUGACCAACUUGUUAUAUGAUGUCUCAUUAACCAAAAUGAUGGUUAAAUAGUGUUGGUGGUAAUGACUAUGAUGAUUAUUAGCUAUAGUGAUGCAAGAGUUUUUAUAUUAAUAUGAUGAUGAUGUUGAUCAUGAUUAUCAUGAUGAUUUGUUAUUAUGAUCAUGAUUGGCUAUUAUAUCAUUGGGGGAAUGAAAGCGGAUUAGAUUCAUGUGGAUGGAUCAAAAGUGACCAAAACUUGAAUUAGUAGGAUCGUCGUCCUACUAAUUCAACUUUUGAUCACUUUUGAUUCAUUUGGAUGAAUAAAAUCCAUGUUUCUUCCUCACAAUGAUAUAAUAGUUCAUCAUGAACAUAAUGAUAUAACAACCUCUUAAUUGGUACUGUAUCAAAAUUUCUAUAACGGCAUAUAAAUACACUAAAAAUUAAAAAUAAUGAAAAAUAGAUUACUAGUAGCGUGGGUUUGCAAGAACGCUACUAAUAGUUCUCUUAUCAGUAGCGCUGGUAUGAUACACGGUACAACUAUAUGUCUUAGCAGUAGCGCGUCUUACACGCGCUGCUGGUAAGUAAUAGUUGUAGUGCCUUACUAGUAGCAUGGUAACCCGCGCUACUACUAGGCACUAAACCCGCGCUACUACUAGGCUUUUCCCUAGUAGUGGACACUUCUCUCUAUUAGGCAGCUAACACAAUAUGAAACCACUAAAUUAACCCUCCAAAACCACCCAAACCCCCCCCCCCAUUAAAAAACCAACUCCGGUCAGAUGCUGACGCGUGGAUGCCAUUUGGUCCUGGUUGGUGUGACCAAUCGGGACUAAAGUUCCUCAUGCAUGGGCUCCCCGCAGUGGCCACGUGGAGAUCCUUUGGGCCCGGUUCGUAAGCCAACCAGGAGUAAAGUUUUGGGCUUUUAGUCCCUACCCUUUAGUCCCAGUUCCGGAACCAGUGCUAAUGAGCCUCUGGAACCGGGACAAAUGGGCCUUUUUCUACUAGUGUAAAAAGCUUUUAUAAAACUCUAAUAGCAAAAAAGAAUCAACUAAAAAGCUUUUAUAAACCUCUAGUAUUUUUUACAAUAAAAUUAUUCAAAAUUUAUUCAACUAAAAUUAUCAAAGUAUUUUUUGUUCAAAACAUUAAUAGCAAAACAAUUUUCAUGAAGUAUUUUUUUUGUUAGAAACAUUAAUAGCAAACUUCAAUAUCAAAAUCUGUUUUUGAUUAAAACACCCAUUUAAAAUAACCUAAAAAUUACCAAAUUGAAUAUAAUGAUAAAACACACUAAUAUUAAAUAGCAGGAAAAAGAAUCACUAAAAAAACUAUUUUUAAAGUAAAGUUAUUCACAAACUAGUGAUUCACACAAAUUUCAAAGAAUUCAAAUUAUUAAAGUAUUUAUUUGUUAAAAAAGGACAAAAAAGAAUGAACUAAAAAGAAUAAAAUAAAACAUUAAUAAAAAGAAUGAACUAUUAAGAAUCAAAAAAAUAUCAACUAAAAAAAGAUUUCAUAAAAUCAAACCAAUUGCCCACCUACUAGGCAACCACAGCCUCCAUACGACUAGAAAUCCAUUUGUAAAUGGGCCAGGAUGAAGGCCCGCGGGCCCAGCAGGCCCAAUAGGGCGUCACAUAGGCAAGUACUGCGUGCAAUGGAGAGGAGCUCGAAGUGGCAGUGGUAGCGAAGCUUAUAAUCAACUCUGAGCCCCCCUCGACUAGCGAGGUGGGACUAAAAAUUUAGCCGCGGGAGCACCACCCUUUAGUCCCAGUUGGAGGCACCAACCGGGACCAAUACACCCCAUUGGUCCCGGUUGGAGGGACAAACCGGGAACAAUACCACCCUUUAGUCCCGGUUGGCCUCACCAACCGGGACUAAAGGUAUAGCCUUCCCGCCCUUUCGCCUCGCAAAAUUCACCUUUAGUCCCGGUUGGUGGCUCAUGACGAGGUGAUAUAUAUGCUUCUCGCCCCUCAUUGGACCCCAAGUGGAAGGUGGAGAUGUAGUCAGUAGAAAAUUUACCUUACACAGAGACUUUAAGGUUUAUCGAACCAGUAGGACUCCUAGGCUCAACAAGUAGGUGUCUUCCACCCUGGCGCUAGCAGAACACAUGGACCUGCACACACAACAAAUAACUUUGCUCCCAACGAGUACACAGAGGUUGUCAAUAUCUUCGACCUUGUAGUUUGCAAAGGAUCAAAACACAAGCGGGAAGGUAAUAGUGAUUGCAACGGAAAAGUAAAUAAAGUCGUAAAUAGUCGACAUGUAAGCAAUGAUGGUGAUAUGGAUCGUAGUUACAUGACGUUCACUAGUGAUGUCUGUCUCCCAAAAGACGAUAAACAACUAUGCUAGGAUAAACAAAUCACAGUUGGGCAAUUGACAGAAUUAUGAUCGCAUCGCAAUGCUAAUUAUGCUCCUUGAUAGUUAUAGGUUCAAUAGUAUUGAGCAAUACGCCGAGACAAAUAGACCGUUUAUUCAUCAUCAUGUACUUACUAAUCAUCCACCUUGAGAUAUCUAUCGAGAACAUCUCUCGGGUAUUAAGUUGCGAGCCCCACCCAAAGUGUAAACUCAAAACAACGCACAACUGCAUUAACGAACUAUGUGUAAGGUAAACAAUCCUUGCACCCUAGGUCACAAGCACCGUUGUUUUCUCCCUGGUGGCAACAAGCACAUCCCCUAGUAUCAUGUUUCUGUCACUCCAGCUAGACAUCGAGGGGACCGAACCCACAAUCAUGCAUAAUGCUCCCUCUUGGAGUUACGAUCUACUACUCGGCCAAAGCAAUAAAAAGCAACGGAGAACAUGCAAUAAUCACUAAGGAACAUAAUAUAAAAGGAUAAUCAAAUAUAUAACUCAUAACAAUCUGAACAUAACCUCAUAAUCCAUCGGAUCCCAACAAACCGAGCAUCGCAAUAGCAAGAGAAUUACAUAGAUGCCUUGAUCAUGUAGGCCAGCUCACAAGGACUAACCAUUGAAGCACAAGAUUGGAGAGAAGACAUCACAUAGCUACUGGUCAUGGAUUCAUGGUCCAAGGGAAACUACUCACGGCACAUCCGGGAGGCAUCCAUGGUGGUGGAGAAGCUCUCGGAGGUCAAACCUCCCUCCGGCAGGGUGCCGGGAAGAGGUCUCUGUUGGGGAACGUUGCAUGGGAAACAAAAAAAUUCCUACGCACACGAAGACCUAUCAUGUCAAUGUCCAUCUACGAGAGGAGAUUAGAUCCACAUACCCUUGUAGAUCGCUAAGCGAGAAGUGUUAAGAAACGCAGUUGAUGUAGUGGUAUAGCUUCGUGAUUCAAAUCACCGUCGUCCCACGAUCCGUUCCAUGAUCCGUUCCGAUCUAGCGCCGAAUGGACGACACCUCCUCGUUCAGCACACGUACAGCUCGAUGACGAUCUCGGCCUAGUUGAUCCAACAAGAGAGGGGGAGAACUAGAUGAGUUCAUCGGCAGUGUGACGACGCUCCGGUGGUGGUGACGAUCUACUCCUGGAUGGCUCCGCUCGAGCUCCGCAAAAAUCCGAUCUAGAGGAAAAACUACGUGGUAUAGUUUUGAGUUGCACGUGGCAAAGUUGUGUCUCAAAAAUCCCUAAACCACCAAUAUAUAUAGGAGGAGGGGAGGGGCUAGCCUUGGGGCUCAAGGGAUCCCCAAGGGCGCCGGCCGAAGGGAGGAGGUGGACUCCCACCCCAAUUCGGUUUGGGGGAAGGAGUCCACUCCUUCCGACUCCUUCCUUCCCACCGCCCUCUUUCCUUUUUUUCUUUCCAUUUGGUAUUUUCCACUUGUGGCGCCAUGGCCCUAUUGGGCUGGCCUCACCAACCCACUAAGGGCUGGUGCGCCACCCUAGGGUCACUGGGCUCAAUCCCGGGUGGGUGGGCCCCUCCCGGUGGAUACGAGGAACCCAUUCGUCACUCCCGGUACAGUGCCGGUGAUGCCCGAAAGUUUCCAGUGACCAAAUGAAACCAUCCUAUAUAUCAAUCUUCGUUUCCGGACCAUUCCUGGAACCCUCGUGACGUCCGUGAUCUCAUCCGGGACUCCAAACAACAUUCGGUAACCACACAUGUAACUCAACUAUACUAAAACAUCAUUGAACUUUAAGUGUGCAGACCCUGCGGGUUCGAGAACUAUGUAGACAUGACCGGACACACUCCUCGGUCAAUAUCCAAUAGUGGGACCUAGAUGUCCAUAUUGGAUCCUACAUAUUCUAUGAAGAUCUUAUCGGUUGAACCUCUAUGCCAAGAAUUCAUAUAAUCACGUAUGUCAUUCGCUUUGUCCUUCGGUAUGUUACUUGCCCGAGAUUCGAUCGUCGGUAUCUGUAUACCUAUUUUAAUCUCGUUACCGGCAAGUCUCUUUACUCAUUCCGUAAUACAAGAUCCCGUGACUUACACUUUAGUCACAUUGCUUGCAAGGCUUGUUUGUGAUGUUGUAUUACCGAGUGGGCCCCGAGAUACCUCUCCAUCACACGGAGUGACAAAUCCCUGUCUUGAUCCAUACUAACUCAACGGACACCUUCGGAGAUACCUGUAGAGCACCUUUAUAGUCACCCAGUUACGUUGCGAUGUUUGAUACACACAAGGUAUUCCUCCGGUGUCAGUGAGUUAUAUGAUCUCAUGGCCAUAGGAAUAAAUACUUGACACGCAGAAAAUAAUAGCAAUAAAAUGAAACGAUCACAUGCUACGUUCAUAGUUUGGGUCUAGUCUAUCACAUGAUUCUCCUAAUGAUGUGAUCCAGUUAUCAAGUGACAACACUUGCAUAUGGUCAGAAAACCUUAAUCAAGUGGCUAGCCAACUUGAGGCUUGAUAGGGACAUUGUUUUGUCUAUGUAUCCACAAAUGUAUCUAUGUUUUUAUUCAAUACAACUAUAUCAUGGAUAAUAAACGAUUAUCUUGAAACAGGAAAUAUAAUAAUAACUAUUUUAUCAUUUCCUCUAGGGCAUAUUUCCAACAAUCUCCCACUUGCACUAGAGUCAAUAAUCUAUUCCUCACAUCGCUAUGCGAAUUACAUUGUUAUGAAUCUAACACCCAUACAGUUCUGGUGUUGAUCAUGCUUUUCUCGUGGAAGAGGUUUAGUCAGCGGAUCUGCUACAUUCAGAUUCGUGUGCACUUUGCAAAUAUUUACGUCCUCUCCUUCGACGUAGCCGCGGAUGAGGUUGAAGCGUCGUUUGAUGUGUGUGGUCUUCUUAUGAAACCUUGGUUCCUUUGCUAAAGCAAUGGCACUAGUGUUGUCAUAGAACAGAGUUAUUGGAUUUAGUGCGCUCGGCACAACUCCAAGAUCCGUCAUGAACUGCUUCAUCCACACACCCUCCUUAGCUGCCUCCGAGGCAGCCACGUACUCCGCUUCACAUGUAGAAUAUGCUAUGACGCUUUUCUUGGAACUGCACCAGCUUACCGCACCCCCAUUAAGAAUAAAUACGUAUCCCGUUUGAGACUUAGAGUCAUUCGUAUCAGUGUCAAAGCUUGCGUCGACGUAACCCUUUACGGCGAGCUCUUUGUCACCUCCAUAAAAGAGAAACAUUUCCUUAGUCCUUUUCAGGUACUUUAGAAUAUUCUUGACCGCCGUCCAGUGAUCCACUCCUGGAUUACUUUGAAACCUGCCUGCCAUACUUAUGGCCAGGCUAACGUCCAGUCUAGUGCAUAGCAUUGCAUACAUGAUAGAACCUAUGGCUGAAGCAUAGUGGACGGUACUCAUCUUUUCUCUAUCUUCCGCAGUUACUGGACACUGAGUCUUACUCAAUUUUAUACCUUGUAAUACAGGCAAGAACCCCUUCUCGGACUGUUCCAUUUUGAACUUCUUCAAAAUGUUAUCAAGGUAAGUGCUUUGUGAAAAUCCUAUCAAGUGUCUCGAUCUAUCCCUAUAGUUCUUAAUGCUUAGAAUGUAAGCAGCUUCUCCUAGGUCCUUCAUAGAGAACCCUAUAUUCAAGUAAUCCUUUAUGCUCUCCAAAAACUCCACGUUCUUUCCAAUCAGCAAUAUGCCAUCCACAUAUAAUAUUAGAAACGCCACAGAGCUCCACUCACUUUCUUGUAAAUACAAGAUUCUCCAACCACUUGUAUAAACCCAAAUGCUUUGAUCACCUCAUCAAAGCGCUUAUUCGAACUCCGAGAUGCCUGCACUAGUCCAUAAAUGGAUCACUGGAGCUUGCACACUUUGUUAGCAUUCUAUGGAUCGACAAAACCUUUGGGUUGCAUCAUAUACAACUCUUCCUUAAGAAAACCAUUAAGGAACGCCGUUUUGACAUCCAUCUGCCAGAUUUCAUAAUCGAAAAAUGCAGUUAUUGCUAACAUGAUUCGUACGGACUUAAGCAUCGCUACUGGUGAGAAUGUCUCAUCGUAGUCAACUCCUUGAACUUGUGAAAAACCCUUUGCCACAAGUCGAGCUUUAUAAACGAUCACAUUACCGUCCGCGUCCGUCUUCUUUUUAAAGAUCCAUUUGUUCUGAAUAGCCUUGCGGCCUUCAGGUAAUACUUACAAAGUCCACACUUUCUUUUCAUACAAAGAUCCUAUCUCGGACUUCAUGUCCUCUAGCCAUUUGUUGGAAUCCGGGCCCGCCAUUCCUUCUUCAUAAUUCGUAGGUUCAUUUUUGUCUAACAACAUGAUUGAUAAGACAGGAUUACCAGACCACUCAGGAGCAGUGCGUGAUCUUGUCGACCUGUGAUGUUUGAUGGGAACUUGAUCCAAAGUUUCAUGAUCAUCAUCAUUAACUUCCUCCUCAACUGGCGUCGCUUCGAUAGAGGUUUUCCCCUGCCCUAUGUCACCACCUUGAGGGAUUAGAGGUUCGACAACCUCAUCAAGUUCUAUAUUCCUCCCACUCAAUUAUUUCGAGAGAAACUCCUUCUCAAGAAAAGCUCCGUUCUUAGCAACAAACACUUUGCCCUCGGAUUUGGGAUAGAAGGUGUACCCAGCUGUCUCCUUUGGGUAACCUAUGAAGACGCACUUUUCCGCUUUCGGUUCCAACUUUUCAGGCUGAAGCUUUUUGACAUAAGCAUCCCAUCCCCAAACUUUAAGAAAUGACAAUUUUGGUCUUUUGCCAUACCACAGCUCGUAUGGUGUCGUCUCAAUGGAUUUUGAUGGUGCCCUAUUCAAAGUGAAUGCAGAUGUCUCUAAUGCAUAACCCCAAAACGAUAACGGCAAAUCGGUAAGAGACAUCAUAGAUCGCACCAUUUCUAGCAAAGUACGAUUCUGACGUUCGGACACACCAUUACGCUGUGGUGUUCCAGGCGGUGUCAACUGUGAAAAAAUUCCACAUUGUCUUAAGUGAGCACAAAACUCGAAACUCAGAUACUCACCCCCACGAUCAGAAUGUAGGAACUUGAUCUUCUUGUUAUGAUGAUUUUCAACUUCACUCUGAAAUUGCUUGAACUUCUCAAACGUUUUAGACUUGUGCUUCAUCAAGUAGAAAUAUCCAUACCUACUCAAAUCGUCAGUGAAGGUGAGAAAAUAACGAUAUCCACCGCGCGCCUCCACACUCAUCGGACCGCACACAUCGGUAUGUAUGAUCUCCAACAAGUCACUUGCACGCUCCCUUGUUUCGGAGAAUGGAGUAUUAGUCAUCUUGCCCAUGAGGCAUGGUUCGCACGUGUCAAGUGAUUCAAAAUCAAGUGACUCCAAAAUCCCAUCGGAAUGGAGUUUCUUCAUGCGCUUUACACCAAUAUGACCUAAGAGGCAGUGCCACAAAACAUGGCGCUAUCAUUGUUAACUCUACAUCUUUUGGUUUCAAUGUUAUGUAUAUGUGUAUCAUCACUAUCAAGAUUCAAUAUGAACAAUCCUCUCACAUUAGGUGCAUGACCAUAAAAGAUAUUACUCAUAGAAAUAGAACAACCAUUAUUAUCUAACGUAAUCGAGUAACCGUCUCGCAAUGAACAAGAUCCAGAUAUAAUGUUCAUGCUUAACGCAGGCACUAAAUAACAAUUAUUUAAUUUCAUAACCAAUCCUGAUGGUAACUGAAGUGAGACUGUGCCGAUGGCGAUUGCAUCAACCUUGGAACCAUUUCCCACGCGCAUCGUCACUUCAUCCUUCGCCAGCCUUCGUUUAUUCCACAGUUCCUGCUUCGAGUUGCAAAUAUGAGCAACAGAACUGGUAUUAAAUACCCAGGCACUACUACGAGAGUUGGUUAAGUACACAUCAAUAACAUGUAUAUCAAAUAUACCUGAUUUUUCUUUGGCCGCCUUCUUAUCAGCCAAAUACUUGGGGCAGUUGCACUUCCACUGACCCAUUCCCUUGCAAUAAUAACACUCUGUUUCUCGCUUAGGUCCAGCCUUGGGUUUCUUCGUCGGAUUGAAAACAGGCUUGCCGCUCUUCUUGGAGUUACCCUUCUUACCUUUGUCGUUUCUCUUGAAACCAUUGGUCUUAUUGACCAUCAACACUUGAUGCCCUUUCCGGAGUUCUAACUCUGCGACUUUCAGCAUCGCGAAUAACUUGUUGGGUGACUUGUUCAUCCCUUGCAUGUUAUAGUUCAACACAAAGCUCUUAUAGCUAGCUGGCAGUGAUUGAAGAAUUCUGUCAGUGAUAGCCUCUUGCGGGAGUUCAAUCCCCAGCUCAGCUAGACAGUUUGAGUACCCAGACAUUUUGAGCACAUGUUCACUGACGAACGAAUUCUCCUCCAUCUUGCAAGCAUAGAAUUUAUUGGAGGUCUCAUAAAUCUCAAUCCGGGCAUUCUUCUGAAAGAUAAACUUCAACUCCUGUGACAUCUCAUAUGCUCCAUGAUGCUCAAAGCGACGUUGAAGUCCUGGUUCUAAGCCAUACAAGACUCCACAUUGAACUACUGAGUAGUCCUCCUUACGUGUUAACCAGGCGUUCAAAACAUCUUGGUUAGAUGUAGCAGGUGGUUCAUCUCCUAGCGCUGCAUUAAGGACAUAAUCCUUCUUCCCAGCUUGGAGGAGCAACUUUAGAUUACGAGCCCAUUCUACAAAGUUGCUUCCAUCAUCUUUCAACUUAGCUUUCUCUAGGGACGUACUGAAAUUCAGGGUUGCUACUGCGUGAGCCAUUGAGCUACAACAUAAAAUUUUGCAAAGUGGAUUUAAACUAUGUUUAAAAUAAUUAGAGUUUAACUAAUCAAAUUACUGAUAAACUUUCACUCAAAAAGUACAUCUCUCUAGUCAUUUGAGUGGUACAUGAUCCAAAUCCACUAUCUCAAGUUCGAUCAUCACGUGAGUUGAGAAUAGUUUCAGUGGCAAGCAUCUCUAUGCUAAUCAUAUCAACUAUACGAUUCAUGCUCGACCUUUCGGUCUCUUGUGUUCCAAGGCCAUGUCUGCACAUGCUAGGCUCGUCAAGUUUAACCCGAGUGUUCCGCGUGUGUCACUGUUUUGCACCCGUUGCAUGUGAACAUUGAGUCUAUCACACCCGAUCAUCACGUGGUGUCUCAAAACGAUGAACUGUCGCAAUGGUGCAGAGUCGGGGAGAACACAUUUUCAUCUUGAAAUUUCAGUGAGAGAUCACCUUAUAAUGCUACCGUCGUUCUAAGCAAAAUAAGGUGCAUAAAAGGAUUAACAUCACAUGCAAUUCAUAAGUGACAUGAUAUGGCCAUGAACUUGUGCUUCUUGAUCUCCAUCACCAAAGCACCAUCAUGUUCUUCUUGUCACCGGCGCCACACCAUGAUCUCCAUCAUCAUGUCGUCAUCGAGGUUGUCGUGCUAUCUAUGCUAUUACUACUAAAGCUACGACCUAGCAAUAUAGUAAACGCAUCUGCAAACACAAACGUUAGUUUAAAGACAACCCUAUGGCUCCUGUCGGUUGCCGUAUCAUCCACGUGCAAGUCGAUAUUAACUAUUACAACAUGAUCAUCUCAUACAUCCAAUAUAUCACAUCAUGUCUUUGGCCAUAUCACAUCACAAGCAUACCCUGUAAAAACAAGUUAGACGUCCUCUAAUUUGUUGUUGCAUGUUUUACGUGGUUGCUAUGGGUAUCUAGUAUGAUCGCAUCUUACUUACACAAAAACCACAACGGAUAUGUGCAAAUUGCUAUUUAACCUCUCUCCAAGGACCGCCUCGGUCAAAACCAAUUCAACUAAAGUUGAAGAAACAGGCACCCGCCAGUCAUCUUUAUGCAACGAGUUGCAUGUUAGUCGAUGAAACCAGUCUCUUGUAAGCGUACGAGUAAUGUCGGUCCGGGCCGCUUCAAUCCAACAAUACCGCCGAAUAGAGAAAAGAUUAAGGAGGGCAGCAAAUCAAACAUCAACGCCCACAAAACCUUUUGUGUUCUACUCGAGAUAACAUCUACGCAUGAAACUAGCUCUGAUACCACUGUUGGGGAACAUUGCAUGGGAAACAAAACUUUUCCUACGCACACGAAGACCUAUCAUGGUGAUGUCCACCUACGAGAGGAGAUUAGAUGCACAUACCCUUGUAGAUUGCUAAGCGGGAAGCAUUAAGAAACGCGGUUGAUGUAGCGGUACAGUUUCGUGAUUCAGAUCACCAUCGUCCCACGAUCCAUCCCACGACCUGUUCCGAUCUAGCGCCGUAUGGACGGAACCUCCGCGUUAAGCACACGUACAGCUCGAUGACGAUCUCGGCCUUAUUGAUCCAGCAAAAGAUACGGAGAAGUAGAUGAGUUCUCCAGCAGCGUGACGGCGCUCCGGUGGUGGUGAUGAUCUACUCGUGUAGGGUCCGCCCGAGCUCCGCAGAAAUCCAAUCUAGAGGAAAAACUACGUGGUAUAGGUUUGAGUUGCACGUGGCAAAGUUGUGUCUCAAAAAGCCCUAAACCACCAAUAUAUAUAGGAGGAGGGGAGGGGAUAGCCUUGGGGCUCAAGGGAGACCCAAGUGCGCCGGCCAAAGGCAGGAGGUGGACUCCCACCCCAAUUCGGUUUGGGGGAAGGAGUCCACUCCUUCCGACUCCUUCCUUCCCACCGNCCUUUCGGUAUUUUCCACUUAUGGCGCCAUGGCCCUAUUGGGAUGGACUCACCAGCCCCCUAAGGGCUGGCGCGCCACCCUAGGGUCACUGGGCUCACAUCGGGUGGGUGGGCCCCUCUCGGUGGAUACCAGGAACCCAUUCGUCACUCCCGGUACACUGCCGGUAAUGACCGAAACUUUACGGUGACCAAAUGAAACCAUCCUAUAUAUCAAUAUUUGUUUCCGGACCAUUCCGCAAACCCUCGUGACGUUCGUGAUCUCAUCCGGGACUCCGAACAACAUUCGGUAACCACACAUAUAACUCAACUAUACAAAAACAUCAUCGAACCUUAAGUGUGCAGACCCUGCGGGUUCGAGAACUAUGUAGACAUGACCCGAGACACUCCUCGGUCAAUAUCCAAUAGCGAGACUUGGAUGUCCAUAUUGGAUCCUACAUAUUCUACAAAGAUCUUAUCGGUUGAACCUCUGUGCCAAGGAUUCAUAUAAUCCCGUAUGUCAUUCCCUUUGUCCUUCGGUAUAUUACUUGCCCGAGAUUCGAUCGUCGGUAUGUGUAUACCAAUUUUAAUCUCGUUACCAGUAAGUCUCUUUACUCGUUCCGUAAUACGAGAUCCCGUGACUUACACUUUAGUCACAUUGCUUGCAAGUCUUGAUUGCGAUAUUGUAUUACCGAGUGGGCCCCGAGAUACCUCUCCGUCACACGGAGUGACAAAUCCCUGUCUUGAUCCAUACUAACUCAACGGACACCUUCGGAGAUACCUGUAGAGCACCUUUUUAGUCACCCAGUUACGUUGCGACAUUUGAUACAAACAAGGUAUUCCUCCGGUGUCAGGGAGUUAUAUGAUCUCAUGGUCGUAGGAAUAAAUACUUGACACGCAGAAAACAAUAGCAAUACGAUCACAUGCUACGUUCAUAGUUUGGGUCUAUUCCAUCACAUGAUUCUCCUAAUGAUGUGAUCCAGUUAACAAGUGACAACACUUGCAUACGGUCAGAAAACCUUGACCAUCCUCGAUCAAGUGGCUAGCCAACUAGAGGCUCGCUAGGGACAUUGUUUUGUCUAUGUAUCCACACAUGUAUCUAUGUUUUUAUUCAAUACAAUUAUAGCAUGGAUAAUAAACGAUUAUCUUGAAACAGGAAAUAUAAUAAUAACUAUUUUAUCAUUGCCUCUAGGGCAUAUUUCCAACAGUCUCCUGACGCUCCCAAUCUCGGAAGCGCUGCAGUGGCGGAACGAUGGAGAAAUUCUCGAUUCCAGAUAGUCUAUGAGGGUUUCCUCACGGAACACUAAAUAUAGCCAAAGGAGGGUACUCGAGGAGGGAGCACCCACCCAGGCGACCUCUUGGCGCGCCCUGGGCCUGGCCGCGCCAGCAGGACGCUUGGGAGGCCCCUGGCCCCCCUCUAGCCCUCCUUCGAUGAUCCCAAAGUUUCUGCUUCGUUGAUUUUUUUAUAUAUUUUUCUGGAUUUUUUCGGGCUUCGGAAAAUUGGGUAAAAGCCCCUGCAAAAAAGACAUCAGCAGACAGAAACUGGCACUGGGUGCAUUGAGUUAGUAGGUUAGUCCAAAUAUGUGUAAAGUGAUAUAAAAGUGUAGCAAAACAUAUAAUAAUGUCACCCAAAAUAUCGUGGAACAAGCAGAAAUUAUAGAUACGUUUAGGACGUAUCAAAAUCCCCAAGCUUAAUUUAUGCUCGUCCUCGAGUAGGUAAAUGAUAACACAAUAAUUUCUAUGGUGACAUGCUAACACACAUAUAAGAACUUCAAAGUAAAGCAAGUGAGAUAUGCAAUUCAAGUCAAGACAAUAACAAGCAAGAGUCUAUAUCUAGUAUUGAACUUAGCAAAGUAAGAACAUAAAGGUGCAAGAGCUCUCGCUGUCCGUGACUCGAAUGUCUCCAAAUGGUGUUUGCAUGCAAGAAGUGGGAGAUGGGUUCAGAGAUAAAAUAUUUUUUUAAUGGAGAACUCAAUCUACUAAACCUCACACUUAGUCUUCUUUGUAAUCUUAUUUUGACUCAUCCCUAGAACACUUGUCAGGCACAAGACAAAAUGAUCCUCUCCCUUUCGACUUUGAGCACUCAUGCAAUGGAUGAGCGUAAGCAAGAUAUGUUGGCACUUAGGAUGGCAAAUAGGAUAAUGAUGGGGAAGGAAGACAAAAAGGUGUGAAAGGCUCACAUCAAUGAGGACAACCAUAGGCGAGAGAAAGCCAAAUGAUAGAUAUGAUGUGAGGAGUAGGGAUUGCCAUGUAACACAUGCACAUAUGAGCUAAUGUAAGCUCUCCAAUGCAACUAGUGGGGGUGCAUCUAACUUGUUUGCUCAUGAAGACCUAGAUCUCAUUUGAGGAGGCUCAUCAUUGGAAUAUGCAAAGCAAGUUCUAUAGUGUAAGGAUCCCCCACAUAGUUAUGCAUGAAUUAUAAUCUAUAUGUACUACCAAUAUAGUAAUGGAGUACGAGUGUGGGUCUUUCAAAAGGAAUAGUAGUGUUGCCCCCUUCUCUCUUUUUAUUUCUUUUUUUAUUUUGUGCCCUCUUUGGCUCUUUCUUUUUAUCUCUCAUUUGUCCUGUUUGGGAUAUUUUGUUUGUCCUCUUUGGGAUCUUUUCCUCACUUAAGGGCAAUACUCUAUAUUUUAUAUGAACAGAAAGAAAAAUCAUCACACUUUAUAAGAAGUACUCAACAUAAAGACAAGUGAAAACUAUCAUGAUGUAUGCAAAUGUAUGAUUGUGCGAGUGUAGCAGGAUAAGCAAUGAUACUAGCGCGUCAUGUAGCAGUAAUGAGGGCAAGGCCCAACUAGCAUGCGGCUCUAUGAUCAAGCAAAAGCAUGUAUGACAUGAAGAUCAAGUCAUGAGAUGAUGGAUGUUACAUGGCAAUGUAUCUCGAAAAGGCUAUGGAAAUGCCUUAAUAGGUAGGUAUGGUGGCUGUUUUGAGGAAAGAUAUAAUGAGGCUUAUGUAUGACAGAGCGUAUCAUGUCAUGGGUUUGGAUGCACCGGCGGAGUUUGCGCCAACUCUCAAUGUGAGAAAGGACAAUGCACGGUACCGAAGAGGCUAGAAAAAUAUGGAUGGUGGAAGUGCCAACAAUCAAAUACUCACAUUAGUCCGAAGAACUCAUACACUUAUUAUCGUAACUCUCUAUCUAGUUAGGAAAUUCACAAAAAGACAAGUACCCCGAGGAGGAAUGUUUGGCGGUUUGGUUAUCCUUGCGCAUCCUCGACUCAUGGUAAUGUGAGGGUACUCUAUAUAUUACAACCCCUCCAUAGGUUAGCGAUCAAUUUAGUAGCUAGAGUUCUCAACUAAUUUUUAGUUUUUGAAAAACACACGGAUUUCCCAAAAUACGACACCUAUCACUAAUAGGCUCAAGCUCUUGGCACCAAUAGUCCAAACAUUACUCAAAUCAAUAACUCAAUACUAUUGCAAGUUACUACUAUACUUAAAUAGCAACCUCAGUUACCUACUUAUGCAAGACACACAACUCAGUGCAACAAGCAAACUCUCUAAACAAGAUAAGCAUGAUAACUCGAGAGAGUUCCAAAUUCAACCUAAGUAAAAGCUCUUAAAAAGAUAAGCGUGAAAGCUAAGAGCUAAGCAUGACAAUAGCUAUGAAAAGAUGAAGAACACACAAAAAGAAUAAGCAUGAAAACCUAUGUUGUGUUCUAGAGUGGAAUGGAGCGUGUGUCUCUCCCAAACACGGUAGGAUAGGUUCAGACUUGUUAUGAACAGAAAGCAAAAUUAAAACAAAGUAAAAAAGUAAAUAGCGGGACGCUCCAAGCAUAGCACAUAUCAUAUGAAGUGAUAAAAAUAUAGUAUGGGGAUGGACGACCUGAUGAUUGUUGAUAGAGAAGGGGAUGCACGGGGGCAUCCCCAAGCUUAGACGGUUGAGUCUCCUUUGAAUAUUUCUUGGGGUGCAUGGGGGCAUCCCCAAGCUUGAGUGUUUGACACUCCUUUAUCUUCUUUCAUCAUCUCUCCCAUCGCAAUACUUGAAAACCCCCUUUAUACAAAACUCAUCAUAAGCUGAUUAGAGUAGUUAGUUCCCUUAAUAAAAUAAUUCAAUACCUACUGAAAAUAAGGAUUUUCAUGAAAAGAUACUGCUUCUCAUGUGCCAAAAUAUUUUUGCAAAUAAAAAGAAAGCUUAGGAUUCGCAAAACAAUGGAAACACAAAACAUGGCAGAAUUUGUGAAAAACAGACAGCAGGUAGUAAAUAAUUUAUUCGGCGUACUUCUGCAACUCAAAUCAAUAAACUUAUAACAGAUGCCAGAAAGACAAUUAUAUAGAUCAUGCUGUCAAAAACUUCAGAUCAAAAAGAUGAUGUGGUGAUUUUUUGGUGAUUUUUUUCGUCAAGCAGACAUAAUCUGUUUCUCGACGGCAUGUCACAAUUUUUGAACUUUCUUGCAAUCGAAAGCUAUAACUUGGCACAAAGCUUAAAAAUAAAGAUACAAUGAUGUUGCUACAGUAGUAACACACAUCAAGACCACUAAAACAUAAAGUAAAAAACAUAUUGGGUUGCCUCCCAACAAGCACUUUCUUUUAUGCCUUUGAGCUAGGCAUAAUGCAAGAAGAUCAAGUUGUAUCAAUUGAACCAUCAUCAAGAUCAUCAAAGAGCUCUUCAAUAAUACAACUCCUCUUCAGAGGACUCUCAAAGAGAGACUUAGUGGCGACACUUCUAGGAACAAAAGCAAAGGUAGUAAUACCAAUUGGAAUUUCAUUUCUAAUUCUAUUUAAGAGAGGUAUCUCUUCCAAGGUCUUCACAGUUUCAGCACCCUUAGCAAUAGGUAUACUUGUUUUGGGUUGAGGAACCUUGGGUAUGUUAACGAACCUAGGUCCCUUCCUUGCAGGGGUUUCUACCUUUUUAGUCUUGAUGGAGGAUAGAGUAGUUCCUAAAGUUUCAAAAAUAUCCUCGAUCUUAUCAAUCCUAGAAGGAUCCACAUCAUGGGAUUUAAGGGUCUCCAAAAUUUUGUAAAUUUUGUUCAUGGAGCUGUCAAGCCUAUUUAAGUUCCCUUGAAUCCUACUAUCUACUUCAUUAAUCUUACUCAUGCUUGGCAUCUCUAGCUCUAUUUUCUCAAGUUUACUCAUAACAUGAGAUAAAGUGAUAUCAUCCUUUAUGUCAAUAAUAGGUCGGAUUCCGACAAGAUUUUCCAUAACGUUAAGAGCCUCCCAAACGGGAGCUUCCAAGAAAUUCCCUCCGAUUGUUGUGUCUAGAACAAACCUAUGCCAACAAGUAAUACCAACAUAAAAAUUUCUAAGAAAAAUAGUGGUGGAUUGCUUCUUGGUGGCUCUAUCUUGAGAAUUCUUAAUUCUAUACCAAGCAUCUUUCAAACUUUAUCCAACCCUUUGUUUGAAGGUGAGAAUCUCUCCUUCGGGUGCAACACUAGAGGCAAAGGAUUUAGGCAUACUAACAAAGCAAAGUAACUAAUUUUUCUGUGGUUUUUGGGUAUAGGACCGUAAAGAAAAAACUAGAAAGCAAACUAACAAGACUAAAAAGCAAAGGUAAAAUAUAGUGUGCAACUCCCCUAUCUUGAAGAGUGGAGUCCCUAGCAAUGGCGCCAGAAAUUCGCUUGAUGACGAGGUGUUGUAUAUGCUUCUCGCCCCUCGUUGGACCCCAAGUGGAAGGUGGAGAUGUAGUCAACAACAAAUUUCCCUUACACGGAGACUGUAAGGUUUAUCGAACCAGGAGGACUCCUAGGCUCAACAAGUAGGUGUCUUCCACCCUGGCGCUAGCAAAAGACGUGGACCUGCACACACAACAAAUAACUUUGAUCCCAACGAGUACAGAGAGGUUGUCAAUCUCUCCGACCUUGUAGUUUGCAAAGGAUCAAAACACAAGCGAGAAGGUAAUAGUGAUUACAACGGAAAAGUAAAUAAAGUGGUAAAUAGUGGAGGUGUAAGCAAUGAUGGUGAUCUGGACCGGAGUCACAUGACGUUCACUAGUGAUGUCUCUCUCCCAAAAGACGAUAAACAACUAUGCUAGGGUGAACAAAUAACAGUUGGGCAAUUGACUGAAUUAUGAUCGCAUCGCAAUGCUAAUUAUGCUCCUUGAUAGUUAGAGGUUCAAUAGUAAUGGGCAAUACGCCGAGACAAGUAGACCGUUUAUUCAUCAGCAUCUACUUAGUAAUCAUCCACCUUGAGAUAUAUAUCGAGAACAUCUCUCUGGUAUUAAGUUGCGAGCCCCACCCAAAGUGUAAACUCAAAGCAACGGACAACUGCAUUAAUGAACUAUGCAUAAGGUAAACAAUCCUUGCAACCUUGGUCACAAGCACCGUUGUUUUCUCCCUGGUGGCAACAAGCACAUCCCCCUACUCUCAUGUUUCGGUCAGUCAAGCUAGACAUUGAGGGGCCCGAACCCACAAUCAUGCAUAAUGCUCCCGCUUGGAGUUACGAUCUACUACUUGGCCAAAGCAAUAAAAAGCAACGGAGAACAUUCAAGAAUCACUAAGGAACAUAAUAUAAAAGGAUAAUCAAAUAUAUAACUCAUAAAAAUCUGAACAUAAUCUCAUAAUCCAUCGGAUCCCAACAAACAGAGCAUAGCAAUAGCAAGAGAAUUACAUAGAGGCCUUGAUCAUGUAGGGCAGCUCACAAGGACUAACCAUUGAAGCACAAGAUUGGAGAGAAUACAUCACAUAGCUACUGGCCAUGGACCCAUGGUCCAAGGGAAACUACUCACGGCAGAUCCGGGAGGCGUCCAUGGUGGUGGAGAAGCUCCCGGAGGUCAAUCCUCCCUCCGGCAGGGUGCCGGGAACAGGUCUCCUGACGCUCCCGAUCUCGAAAGCGCUGCGGCACCGGAACGAUGGAGAAAUUUGCGAUUCCAGAUAGUCUGCGAGGGUUUCCUCAUAGAACACUAAAUAUAGGCCAAAGAAGGGCACCGGAGGAGGUGGGGCCCACCCAGGCGACCUCCUGGCGUGGCCUGGGGCCUGGCCGCACCAGCAGGCCGCCUGGUAGGCCCGUGGCCCCCCUAUGGACCUCCCUCAGUGACCCCGAAUCUUCUGCUUCGCUGAUUUUUUAUAUGUUUUUCUGGAUUUUUUUUGGGCUUCGGAAAAUCGGGUAAAAGCCCUUGCAAAAAAGACAUUAGCAGACAGAAACUGGCACUGGGUGCACUCAGUUAGUAGGUUAGUCCAAAUAUGUGUAAAAUGAUAUAAAAGUNUACUCCACAAUGCCCUUGUCUAUGUGUGAAUUUGGCAUAUCUGUUCUACUUUGUGUCAUUAUGUCAACACAAUAUAAUCUCUUAUAUUGUGUGUCCUGUUAUGGUCAAUUGCGUGAACUGAUGACAUGGCCAUUUGUUCAUCUAGUUAUCCCUUUAUUUAUAACUUACUCUAUUUUUUAAAGCAUAUUAUGCGUUCAGAUAUGAAGUCCGCCUCUCGUGUUUUGGUCACACUCCGCCACUGGUCAAGAUUGUUAUGAUAAUCAUGUGGUCUAUAAUAUUCUUCAUGCGCCAUCGCGUCCUGUGGCCGCAACACUCCUCUAAAGAUAAAGGCCUUCGAUAAGGCCAGACAAUAUAUUUUUUGGAUCUGCUAAGUUAGAAUGAACGAUUAUGAUAUUUUCAUGUUAAAUAUGUUUACUUCGUGAUGUAUGUUUUGUCACUUGUCACUAUAUACAUUGUUUUCCAUUCCUUAAUUGUUAUGCAAUAUUAAAUACUAUACUUUAAAAAUAAUUAGCAUAGUUAAGAAUGUCAUAACCCGUCUUGUAAUACAUAACUUUUGAUGGAUUGUCAUAUUUAUCAUUGCCAUAUUCUUUUCAUGUUGAAAAUAUAACUCUAUUUUGUCCCAAAUGUGUUUCACUUUUAGCUUUGGUUUGGGACAUUCAAUAAAAUGUCUUGUUCAAGAUGGAUUUCACCCCAAAAAUUUGAUUUAUGUUUUUAAUCCAAUCAAAGAGAAAGUAUUGUCCUUUUCUAUGUUGUGCAUGUUUAAAACAUAGAAGUUUGUGUAAUUUGAUAAUUCAUACAAGGAGCUGAAAUAUUUGCAGAAACUAUGGAUCAAAGAGACUUGGAAAAAGAAUAGUUGUUGGGUGAGAUAAUCUUCACCGGAGGUGAUGUCUUGUCGUAUCUCAACGACACCGAUGGUCUGGAAGGAGAGGAUGACGGCUCGGGUGAACGAACAAUGAAGGAGGAAGGACAUGAUCAUGAUGGCUCCGGUGACCGAAUGUCGGCGGAAGAAGAUGACCAUAAUGACGCCUCCGGUGACCGAACGGAGGAGGAUGCUGUUGCAAAGUCCGGUGAGGUAUAUAUAUUACAUAAGCCUGUGCUGACUAGCUAAUUGACGCAUUAAUUAUUUUGGUAUGUACAUAUAUUAACUCUUCUUUCUUUCUUUAUAGGCCUCCGGAUUGAGCGAACCUUCGGUAACGAGACGAGGCUCGAAGAGAAGGUUGCGCAAGGAUGAAAGGCUCACAAUCACAUCACUCGCAAACGAUGGCCUACCGAUUCUACCCAAACGGACCAAGGACGCAUUUUCUGCUCAGUGCGGAGCUAUUGUUAGGGACAACAUCCCGAUCAGCAUCAAGUAAUAGAAUAAGCCUAAGGGCGACGACGUCCCUGAAGGUGAUUAUGUCACCGAUAGACAGAAAGAUGAUCUUUGGACCGCGCUGAAGGCAAAUUUCACCCUACCACCCGAGGAGGAUCCGAAUAAGCCAGUUAUAAAGCCACUCGUCAAGGCAUGUGGUCUUAAGAAGAUGGCAGAUCUAUUCAAGAGGUGAAAAAUUCAUAUGCAGCAGCGCGGCUGUCGGGAAGUACUUCCACUCAUGCAAGGUUAGCAGAACGAAGAAGUGGAAAACAAUUCCCCAGCUCGGCGAACAGGAGAAGCAAUCGUGCCCCCUGCUCAAGGUGUCUAGCGAAUCGUCGCUAAUCCUCCGGGGAUGGUGCCGGGUACCAAUCCUAGUGAUUACUUGGGGGAUGAUGUAAUUUUUCAAAAGGUUGAGGUAACAAAAUAACAACACAAAUACGUGCACGGGAAGCCUCUCAUCAAACCUGAUCAUCCUCCUCUAAUAACGAUGAUGCACAAAUUGCAUGAGUGGUACAUGAAAACCUGCAGCGAGUCUGGGAGAGACACUAUGUAUGUGGCAGUGAAACUAGAGCACGAAUUCAUUGGAUCUCUCGUGAUGCCUAUUGAAUUUGUGGAGUUAUUUCAGUUAUACAAUCAAAUGGGCCUCGACAAAUGACUCAUGACUUCCUACUGUUUGUAAGUAUUACUUCUAUAGUUAAUUCUCUAGCUCAGCUCGUUCAUUGCAUGUAUAUAUAAUUAUCCUUACUAUAUUAUGCAGAUUAAAGAUCGUUGAAUUCAAAAAAGUAGGAAUCUUCGACGUUGGGUUCAUUAGCCCAGAUGUCGUAAAUGAAUGGAUGGUACGACACUCAACCAAAGAGACCGAGGAGAACUUCCUAAAGUCGUUACUUGUACAUCAAAACAAAAAGGAAAUACUCCUUCCUUACAACUUCAAGUGAGUGUUGAUGUGUUCUCUGUAUACUCGGUUUCGCUUACUCGAGGUUAAUUAAUGUAAUUGAUGAGUUAUAUAUGCGUGCGCAGUUACCACUUUAUUCUGCUGUCCAUUAAGCUUGACGCGGCAUUACUAACUGUCUUAGACUCGAGACGUAAAAAUCCUAAGAUGUAUGCGGACAUGACUGCAAUGCUCAAGAAGUAAGUUUAGUCAAUACUGGGACCAUAUCGGCAUGCAAAUUUCGUUAAUUUCCUGAUAUCAAGUAAUAAUAUUUUUUUUGCCUGGCAAGGUUUGUAAGAAGUUUACCAAAAAGGCUCCUGGUCUAAACAAAGAGUUGUGAGUUACGCAUCCCAACGUAAGUAGUACUCCCUCCGUCCUAAAAUAAGUGUCUUAAGCUUAGUACAAAUUUAUACUAGAGCUAGUAUAAAGUUAAGACGGUUAUUUUGGGACAGAGGGAGUACUAGCUAGUUCCGCGCAUCUCUAAUUGAUUCAAAUUUUCAUCAAUAUAUCAUUACCAUGCUUGCUUAUCAAUUUUAUUGAAUUCUAUUCUCGUAAAGUGCAUGUAGCAAAAAGAAGGGACUGUUUUAUGUGCAUACUACGUAUGCGAGUUCAUUCGCCUCUCGAUCUGUGAGCGGGGCUUCUCCGAGAAACAAUUUAAAUUAUGUAAAUAAUAUUCACAAUUUUAUUUUAUAUAUUAGCAUAAAUUGUGUUGUUUUAUUCAUAUAUAUGCAUGUAUUAACCCCCUUCUUUAAAUUAGAUCUGACAGAUGUGGGAUGAACUCCUAUCACAUGAUCGCAUACGACCAAUUCAAGAGGAAUUGGCGAGAUUCUUUCUUGACCACGUCAUACCUAAAGACGGAGAAUACCAUGCGAAUUUGUGAUUGGAUCUUAGGUAGAUGAUGUUAGGGAUUGUAAAAGAUGUUAUAUUGUAUAUAUGUAGUAGCGUCGGAUAGAUAUACGAAAACUUGUUGUUCGACCAAACACGGAGAAAGAUGUCACUUCUCUCUAUAUGUAUAGUAGCUAGCGUCGACCAAGCAUGGAGAAAGAGAGGACACUUCUCUCUAUUAGCUAGCUAACACAAUACGAAACCCCUAAAUUAACCCUCCAACCCCACCCCCCCCCCAACCUCCCUUAAAAAAAACUCACCUCCUGCCAGAUGCUGACGCGUGGAUGCCUUUUGGUCCCGGUUGAUGUUAUCAACCGGGACUACAGGCCCUCCUGCCAGGGCUCCCCGCAGAGGCCACAUGAAGGCACAUCUGUCCCGGUUGGUAAGUGAACCGGGACUAAAGGUUUUGGGCUUUAGUCCCGACCCUUUAGUCCCGGUUCCAGAACCGGUGCUAAUGGGCCUCUGAAACCAGAAUAAAUGGGCAAAGUGUAAAUAAGAUGGGAAACUUGUAAGACAAGAUUGAACAAGCACUAGCUUGCUGUCAUAUCCCAAAAAUCUCCCUCUUCACGCAACAACUAUUUUGAGGAUUUUACCAACCACAGGCUGCAUGUCCUCUUUUCUAAGCUUGGAAUGAUGAAGAUGGAAGCCCAAAUAUUUAAUAGAAAAAUAAUCUUUUUUUCUAGAAUAUGCACGAAUAUGCAUAUCAUAUAUCUAUAGAAGAAAGGUGAAGAACAUCUCCAUCAGUUAUUUACAUCACAUCGUGAUACACCUCACGAAAACACAAACAACUCCACUUUAUCCUAACAUAGUCUACUCCUCCCCAAUGCUCCACCGUAUUAGACCUGCAAACACAUAAUCAACAUUUUCUUUAAUGAGCACGGCCAACGACCACGUUCUACCUCAGUCAAUUAGUCCCCGGAACGCCAAUUUUCGCUGGUUGGGCCCAUUUUUAAGUCUGACGAUCCCAUGACGAACCCAGCAAACUGGGGGCGCUUUGGGUCUCCGGCAGAAGAAAAAACGACGCGUGGGUUGUCCCUAUCAGGCGCAAAAGCCGUUUUCCUCCUUCAGAUCCCGGCGCCGUUCACCUCCCUACCGCCGCUACAAAGGCCAUCUCCCUUGCGACCAAGGGUGGGUUUGCCCCGGAUUCGCUCUAGCCCACAAGUUUGUUUGACCACUCCAAAAGUUAAGCACCCGAAAUAUGUGCUAGUUCGCUCAUGUAUCCCAGAAUUUUUUUGGCACCAACAUGGUUAUUCUCUACUUAAUACUUGACUGAAAUGACCCUUAACCAAAGCAACUAUGUUGUUAUAUGAAACGGAAACACAACUAGAAGAUGAUGAUCAACGAUGAUAGUAAUAUUCUAGCCACAGAUCAGCGAGAGAUACCAUCCUUCAUGAUUUUUUUAACAGGCAUUCGGCAAAUCGACAUAACAACACCCAACAAUACUCUUCAAAUUGAUACAAAAGCUGAAAAUUUCACGGUACCUAAUGUUACUCAAAACAUAAUUAAUGGUUUCAGCCUGUCUUGUAGAUUGUGGAGCUGUGCAUGCAAAUUUGGACGGUAGUGAUCCUCGAGGAUUUUAUGCACGGGGACUGAAGUGGAGUUGUUCGAUACGAUGAGUUUCAUAGUCAACGCGUGUAGAUACUCAGCUGUUUCAAGUUCAGCUGACAUAGUUAUUUCUUAUUUCCUGGACAGAUUUUCUGAUCAUGUGUAUGUCCAGGUCGCUGCGGCCAUGUCCAUGCUAUUUAUCUUCCAUUAUAUAUUUUUUACUAACUGACUGAGUGUUAUUUGAAUGGAAGAGAGCAUACCAUUGAAAAAUGCAGUUUUCAUUUUCUUGUACAGUGGUACUUAUAUUCAGUGGCGGAGCUAGCUAAUUGCCAAAGCCUGGGCACGCUGUAAACAAAGAUUUUUUCAUAUAUAUAUAUCAAACAUCACUAGUAUCAUAUAUUUGAAUAAACAGUAUGCGCAAUAUACGCACUAAUGUUUCAUAGAUGACAGAAGUAAAUAAAAACAAGACAUACAAUAGNNAAUAACUCGCUAAGCACUAGACACACAAUCUAACCUUUGUCUUGACGAUAAUAGUCCAAUCUUCAAUGUUCAUCGUUGUGCACACAAGAGAACCUACAAGAUACACCACAUUACCAAAUUAUAUAUUUUUCACUGAGAUUAAAUACAUUAGAUCUGCUCAACUCUGAAGUUUUAACAAACAUAACUGCAUAAUUAGAGCCGACACAAUCAAUGUUUAAAUGCACAAUUUCUUGAUAAAAUAGAGAGAUUAAUUCACCUAAUUGCCGCUUGCCGCUAGCCCUACUUGUUGGUGGUAGACUGCUAUUAGAUGCCACUUCACCAUGGCCUUGCACAGGUUGAGUGUUCGCUGGCGCUUCUCGUGCGGCCUUGCGAUCUUUCUGCCGACCUGUCCGAUGAUAAUCCGGCAGUUUGCCUCGCCGGCUCGCCGGCUAGGAGUAGCAGCGGCGCAGCAGUUCCUAGGUCACGGACUCACAGCGUCACGUCCAGGACUUCGUCUCGCCUAGGUACGCACACGAACAGGAAGCUGAUGGAUUCAGAUACUUCUAAUUCUCUCACAAUCUAACUAGGCCUUAGUGGCCCACGUAAUUCACGUACUCCCCAAGAGACAAGAGUAUAGCCCAAACUGCAUAAAAACGACAAGACAGGCCCAGUUCAAACACUGCACGUAUUCUCUAUUGUAUACCAGCAUUUUUAAGCUAUUUUUAUGUAUAUGAUGCCUAGAAAUGGUAGCUAUAGUUCAGGAAUUUGCCGCCGUCGAGCCCGGGCACGUGCCCAGGGUGCCCGGACGGUAAAUCCGCCCCUGCUUAUAUUAAUAUGAGCAACAUGUUCGUCUAAUUGCUUUAAAAUCUAUGCUAUUAAUUAAUUAGUGGAUAACUUUGUCCACAUACUUCUCUUGCCCUUAGAGCAACUCUAGCGCACCCCCAACAGGCUCCCAGGGCGUGUUUUUUAGUGCCGGCCAUGAAAAAAAUGCUAAGUUGCUUCGCAGAACAUCGAUUUUAGCUGGUUGAGCCCAUUUUUAGGUCUGACGAUCCCAGGACGAACCCAUCGCACUCGGGCGCUUUGGGUCCCCGACGGAAGGAAAAACGACGUGUGGGCUGUCCCUGUCAGGCGGAAAAGCCGUUUUCCUCCUCCAAAUCCCGACGCCUUUCGCCGCCGUGGCGAUCCCGGUGCCUUUCGCCACCGUGCCGAUCCCAGCGCCGUCCACCUCCCUACCGCCGCUAGAAAGGCCAUCUCCCUGGCGACGAAGGGUGGGUUCGCCGUGGCUUCGCUCCCUGCUUCUUGGUGAUUUUUUUUCCGGCGCUCCGGCCAUGCACGCGGCUGCGCGUCUGCCACGCCCGCUAGGUGUUCGGCGAUUUGCCUCGGCGAUGGACUCCGACGACGUGGAGGCAUUCGCAACGCUAAUGGAAGAGGAAGCCGAUGCCGACACCCAGGAUGAAGAGCACCUCAUGGUCCUCGCCGCUCUGGUGAGCCUGUUCGCGAGCAAUGCAAACCCGAGGCGAGGUGGCUCGGCGUCGGGUCGGCUGAAGGCAAAGCAGGGGCAUCGACUCGAAGGCUAUUGCUUGCUCUACACCGACUACUUCGCCGACGCUCCUCUGCACGGUGACAAACUCUUUCGGCGCCGUUAUCUUAUGAGCCGGAAGCUCUUCCUUAGGGAGUUCGAAAACUACUUCAAGUGCAAAAAGGAUUACACCGGCACACUUGGAUUCACCUCACUCCAGAACUGCACGACAACUACGAGGAUGCUUGCAUACGGAGCUCCCGGUGAUAUUCUGGAAGACUAUGGACGCAUGGCCGAGUCCACCACCGUUGAAUCUUUGUACAAAUUCUACAUGGCAGUUGUGGCAGUAUUUGGACUUCAAUACUUGCGAUCACCCAAUGUUGAAGACACUCCUCGGAUCCUAGCACCGAAUUCAGCAAGAGGAAUUCCUGAGAUGCUUGAAACUAUCGACUGCAUGCAUUGAAAAUGGAAAAAAUAUGCAUUUACUUGGCAGGGGGUGUACAAAGGCGUCAAAGAAGGUUGUAGUGUGGUACUUGAGGUAGUGGCCACACAUAACCUCUGGACUUGGCACUCCUUCUUUGGUAUACCAGGAACUCACAAUGACAUCAACAGACUGCAAUGCUCGAAUGCCUUUGCAAAGCUUGUUGAAGGUCAUGCUCCCCCGAUUAACUAUGAGGUCAAUGGGCACCACUACAACAAGGGAUGCUGCCUAGCAGAUGGCAUCUAUCCGAGAUGGUCCACAUUUGUGAAGACUAUCUCAAACCCUGCACCAGGAGGCAAGAACUUCUACUUUGCCAAGUGUCAAGAAGCUUGUAGGAAGGAUGUCGAGCGAGCAUUUGGUGUGCUCCAAUCUCGUUUUUCUAUUGUUCGAUACUCCGCUCAGACGUGGUCGAAAGAUCAAAUGUGAGAAGACAUGACUUGGUGUGUCAUCUUGCACAACAUGAACAUUGAGAGCGAGCGGGAAGAGCCCGUCUUUGACAUUGAACCAUAUUACAGGCAGGGUCCCCUUGCCCAAGUUGAUCACCAGCUACCGGCAACUUCGAGUGCCUUCAUCAACAUGUGUCAGGAGAUUCGAGACCCACAGGUGCAUCAACAACUAUAAACCGAUUUGGUGGAGUACCUAUGGAGGCUUAAGGGCAACGCCUAGCUCGAUGUGUGAUGAAUUAUGAGUUUUUAUUUGUUGAACUAUUUUGAUUUGUUAAACUAUUUUUGAUUUGUAUUGAUUUCUGUGAUGAACUAUGUGAUAGAAAAAUAAAUGAUUUGUUUAAUUUGUGUUAAAGCAUGCUGAAUAUGGAUCAAAAUUGGUCUCAUUUUGCGUCGAAAGUGAACCAAUUUGCGCUGAAAGUGGGCCAAUUAGCACCGAAAAUGUGCAGAAAUCAGCGGGUGGGGGCGACCUUGGGGGACGGCUGGGAACCCGAGCCUCCCACGUCGAUUUUUCCGCCGACGCGCCUCCAGGAGGCGCUAUUUUACGCCCCGGAAGAUCGAACGGCUGGAGAUGCUCUUAGGGAACCACAUCAUGAUGCAGCUGCUUAUUAAGGAUGUAGUUCUCCACAGCAAUCAUUUGAAACAACUGCUCCUUUCUGUUUGUCUUUCUAAGCUUAAAUGACGUUUAGUUUUGGGGAUCUAAUUUGGACGUUGGAACAUCAGGGCUAAAAUUACACGCUGUAUGUAUCGCAUGAUCGCAAUUGACUCUCAGUUUCCAUGCGUUUGUGCAAUAAUAAUUAAUAAGCUGAAGCUCAAAUUAAUACUUUCUUGUUCUGUUUGCAACAAAGCAGAAGGAGUCUCCACUGAAGGAAUGAAUACUGAGAGUGACAAAUGAUAAGUAGGUGUAUUGGUCUUUGCCAAAUGGGUAUACUCAAUAUAUUUAGAGAUAUAUUAACAAAACAUGCCCAGCAAUCGCUUGGAUGCGAUGCGGACUUAGGUAGGUAAAACAUCAGAUAUUAAAAGUGGCAUGCUUAAAAGGUGUAAAGGCAGCUGCCGUCGUCGCUCCUUGCCGUUGGGUCGUAGUUCUUGGCAUUUUGGUCGGUGCAACCUUCCGGCACGGGCAAAGUACCUUGCUGUGCUCCUUUACCUGCAAUUUAAUUGUUUUGGACGACGUGAUGAGAAGAUGAGCUUGAUAUGCCGGCGGAAGAGCAGGUAAGAAAAACAGGCCUCCACUCCCUUUUUUUUUCCGAAGUAAGAAAGUGAGAAAGAAGUAUGCAUGUAAAGUAGUUGCUGAAAGUAUAAGAAGAUUGUGCGUAGUUCACCUCCUCCUAUGCAGCAAGAGAUGGUGGGUGUGUAUGGAGAAUUUUCUAACCGUAGAAGGAACCAGUCUUCAUCGCAUCCUGGUUAGCAUCACCCAGAGCUGCCUGGCUCAUGUAGGUGUCAGCAAGCUGCACACGCUUGACAUUGUCCUGCUCCUGGACGAGCAUGUGCCCGUACUCUAGCAGCUUCUCGACUGUCAUCUUUGGCUGCUCGAAGGUCACGGGCCCGUCCCGCGAGUUCACCAGCCUCUUGCCAAUGUUCUCGAUUCCGGUAGAGCCGACCCACUUGCGCACCUCAUCGUCGUACACCCGAGCACGCAGAGCACCGAAAAAGUCUGUAUCGGAUCGAUGCAUGAUACUUUGUUAAUUACUGAUAUACAACUUGUCUGCCCUGAUGAAUAUAUAUAUAUAUAUUUGGAAACAAGAGAAAUAUACCAAUGGAUUGUCCUGGGAAGGUGUCGACGAUCUUGACGACAGACUCGUCACUGACAUUGUCGGUCUGGAAGAUACCCUUGCAGACACCGAUACGGUCGUCACGGGUGGGAGCCCAGUAGAACUUCUCCAUACGACCAUCACGGAUCAGAGGAGCGUAGAGCGUCGAGAAAUCGUUACCGGUGACGACGAUGGGCACACGGGGGUUCUCCUCCUUGUUGUACAUGCCAGGGAGCUGCACGUUGGUGGGGGCAUCGGCGAUGUUCAUCAGGGUGGCGUUCACCAUCUGGUUGUUGACGGUGUACUGCGUGGUUCCGCCCAUCCUACCCGCACCAGCGUCAAGAUCGUUGAUGAAGAGGCAGCACAUCUUACCCUUCUUGAUCAUGUCUGCAGCCUCACGGUACCGCUGCCUGAUGAGCUUGGCUGGCUCUCCAGCGUUCCCACUCUCCAGCUCUCCGGCACUCAUCAUGAUGGGGCUGUGGCAAAAAGCACAGGUCAUUAUCUAUUAUUACUAUUAUCUUAUACUCCCUCUGUUCUUAAAUAUAAGUCUUUUAAGCGAUUUCAUCAAGAAACUACAUACAAAACAAAAAGAAUGAAUCUACACUCUAAAGUAUGUCUAUAUACAUCCGUAUGUAGUCCUUUAGUGAAAUCUCUAAAAUGACUUAUAUUAUGGAACGGAGGGAGUAGUAUUUCUUUAGGGAGGAAGUAGAUGAAUGUAAAUUCUUACUUGAUGCCCAUCUUGGCGAACACAAGCUCACACUGGAAUGAUUUUCCUUGACCCUUGCCUCCCCAGAUACCCAAGAUGAGUGGGAUCUGAAUUUCGAUUCAAGGUCAGUUUCAGAAUCAGAAUGAUUCAUUUUAUUGCUGCUUCUGCUAAUAAUCAAUUAAAUUAAAUAACGAUGUCUGCAUGCAUCGAUUAAUUCAACCUCCUUUUUUCAAAAAAAGAAAAGAANNNNNNNNNNNNNNNNNNNNNNNNNNNNNNNNNNNNNNNNNNNNNNNNNNNNNNNNNNNNNNNNNNNNNNNNNNNNNNNNNNNNNNNNNNNNNNNNNNNNNNNNNNNNNNNNNNNNNNNNNNNNNNNNNNNNNNNNNNNNNNNNNNNNNNNNNNNNNNNNNNNNNNNNNNNNNNNNNNNNNNNNNNNNNNNNNNNNNNNNNNNNNNNNNNNNNNNNNNNNNNNNNNNNNNNNNNNNNNNNNNNNNNNNNNNNNNNNNNNNNNNNNNNNNNNNNNNNNNNNNNNNNNNNNNNNNNNNNNNNNNNNNNNNNNNNNNNNNNNNNNNNNNNNNNNNNNNNNNNNNNNNAGGUACCUUGAUGUUGGGCAGGGUCAUGAAGUUUUUGGAGAGAUGGACAACAAGCUUGUCCAUGAAAGCAGGAGCGAUGUAGAAGCCUCCCAUGGUGUUGUCGAAGUCGUACUUCCGCAGGCCCUGGCUGACGUACUCGUAGGAGCUGAGGACGGCCUCGUGGGUGCCGUCGCCCGUGGGCGCCUGGAAGAGCGAGUCCACGAUGCCCUUCCCUCUGGUGAUGUCCUGCUGGUCGUCGGAGAUAUCGUACGCAAGACCCUUCCACUUGUCGGUGUUCCUCUUCUCGUCGAUGUUCUCCGCUGCCAUGACUGUGAACCUGUUGGCCUUGGAGCUCUUGCCAUGGUAGUUCACGGCCGAGGUCACCUGCUUCUUGAGCUUCUUCCCGAGGAAGUUGGUCGGCGUAGAAGCCUGUAUACAUUACAUUACAUUACAUAUACACACAUGAGAUGCCGCUGAAGACACUGAUAGGAUAUCAUCACUAAGCAAGAGAUGCAAUCAAUCAAUCGAUCGAUCAGUGUGUGGUACGCACCGGAGCCCCGACGGUGGAGGAGAAGGCAGCAGCCAUCUCUGUGCUGCUUGGUCGACCUUGCUAGCAACGGUGGAUGCGCGCGGCUGUGCUGGUGAUCAGUGAUGAAUGACUGCUGCUGCUCAAAGUAUAGAGGCCGAGCUAUGUGACGCCUUAAAUACACGUGGAUUGGCAUAUUGCUGCUCUGCUGUGGGGAGCUUGGAGGAGGAGGCGGCAUACACACACCCCUGCUUGUGGAUCAGCCUCCCGAUCCCCCAGAGGCCACACGCUGGAGAUUGGGUUCUGAGCGUCUUGGCCGGCCGGUUGGAUGACUUGGACCGUCAAGACCAAACGCUGCAGCUGCAGCUGCAGAUACGUCUGCUGGCCAUCAAUUCCAUGGCCUUCCACGGCCACAGAAUCUAACCAUUCAUGCUCAAAUCAUCUCCCAUUUCUUCCGUGCCUUUCAUUUUUUCCUUUCACUCGGUCGCCCGUAUAUACUAUCUUGUUUAUUAGCCAAGCCAUGUCAUUGCAUAACCACAAAAAAAGGGUCUCUCGUUGCUUGUUGGAUGAGGCACCCAAGAUUGUAUUCUAGUUCCAAGUACCACAAAUUUGUUGCUGCCAUACAUAUACUGGUUUGUUGAUAACCAUCAAGCUAGGGAUGUCAUUUGGCACCACACAAAUCAAGUCCUGGUUGACAUCAAGCACAUGGGUUUGUACUUUUGUCUACUCCAAUAAAUAUUGCCACUUCGGUAAAAAAAAAUGAAGCGUAUUAAGAGAAAAGGUAGCCAUGCAGUUUUGCUUUGAUGAAAAGAUUAUAGAACGUGUCUAAUGUUUUCAUGUAAAUGUAAUUCGUGUUGCCUAGCUCAAGUUCCCUGCUGGUAUUCUCAUUGUUUGGGUCUAGUACAGACCAUUAAUUGAUCAUUACGAUGAAUGCGAGCCGUUUGGCUCGCACAAUCUUUGUCCAAUACACCUUCUAGUGAUGUUGUCCUUGUUAAUCAACUUUGUGGUGCAAAUUGGGGUUUCCGUAAUCCGUCAAAGGGAAAAUAUGUAUGUAUGUGAUGAGUCAUGACCCCCCACAUCCACAGUACUCGUACCUAAUCAACAAGCUUCAGAUGAUUUCCACAUAUGUGCUAAUCUUCCGACAAGUGCUAAUAUCAAGAGAUAUAUAGGUUGUUGGGACUUGGGACCCUAGCUUGCAUCCAUUGGAGAAAUGAUUAAGCGGAAAAUGACGAUUUAAGAACAUAUACAAUUCCUUUCUCUUUCAAGAAGAGACUUACAAUUGGGUUACCUGUGCGGCGAUGAAUCAAAAAGUUUGAGUGGAUUUCGGGUCCAAAAUAGUCCAACAUAUAUAUAGUGCAUGCAUGCAUCUUAAGUAGAGUAGGACCUUCUACUUGCCGUAGAAGGCACCGGUCUUCAUGGCGUCGUCGUUGGCUUGGCCGAGCGCCGCCUCGCUGAGGUACUUGUCGGCGAGCUGCACACGCUUGAC